GAUGAACGCUAGCGGCAGGCCUAACACAUGCAAGUCGAGGGGGAAGUUACUUUCGGGUGACUGAGACCGGCGUACGGGUGCGUAACGCGUAUACAAUCUGCCUUUCACUGGGGGAUAGCUCGAAGAAAUUUGGAUUAAUACCCCAUAGUAUAUAGGGACGGCAUCGUUUUUAUAUUAAAGCUUAGGUGGUGAAAGAUGAGUAUGCGUUCUAUUAGCUAGUUGGAGAGGUAACGGCUCCCCAAGGCGAUGAUAGAUAGGGGUUCUGAGAGGGAUGUCCCCCACACUGGUACUGAGAUACGGACCAGACUCCUACGGGAGGCAGCAGUGAGGAAUAUUGGACAAUGGUCGGAAGACUGAUCCAGCCAUGCCGCGUGCAGGAUGAAGGUCUUAUGGAUUGUAAACUGCUUUUGUAAGGGAAGAAUAAGGGCUACGCGUAGUUUGAUGACGGUACCUUACGAAUAAGCAUCGGCUAACUCCGUG
rnacentral:rRNA from 1 species